rnacentral:rRNA from 1 species
UACGUAGGGGGCUAGCGUUGUCCGGAAUCAUUGGGCGUAAAGAGCGCGUAGGCGGCCAGAUAAGUCCGGUGUGAAAGUCAAAGGCUCAACCUUUGAAUGCCGCUGGAAACUGUCUGGCUAGAGUCCGGGAGGGGCGAGUGGAAUUCCCGGUGUAGCGGUGAAAUGCGCAGAUAUCGGGAGGAACACCAAUUGCGAAGGCAGCUCGCUGGGACGUCACUGACGCUGAGACGCGAAAGCGUGGGGAGCAAACAGG